GCUUUUUGAAGAAAACUUUGGAGUUACCUUUUAGCCAUACAAGAAGAAUGCCUGACCUUUACAAUUUCUAAUGGUGAUUAAUACAUGGAGGUCUGAACUUUCCUAACACCGAGAGAAUUUGCAGCUGACAUGAUGCCAGGGUCCCGAUUCUGGAAAUUCACCUUUUCAUCAAGAGUAAUGGUGGUCCAGACCUCAUUACAACAUGAAUUCAAACAUGGACUAAAAAACAGAAUUCCAGAGGUGAUGGUGACUGCUGUUAAUAGCAAGGCAGCAUUUGACAAAAUGUG